CAAAUGCAGAUAUUGCGUUAACUUUUGAAUAGUCUACGCAAAAAAGCAUUUGUCCAUUUUUCUUUGGUACAAGUACCACAGGACUGCACCAUUCACUCACCGAUGGUUCAACUAUUCCAAGUUGUUUCAUUUGAUCCAGUUCCUCCUUGAAGACCUCCUGCAAACAUGCAGGGAUGCAGAAAUACACAGUUCUCACCGGACCUGGGGAGGUGUUCCAACGAGGGCAACACUCCAGCAUCUGGUCUGGAGAGCAAAUACUGUUCCUCUGCCUCAUCCUCCUCCAAGACACUUCGAAUGAGAAACUGGAAGGAAGGAUUAGUAUUCUCAUGCCAAGCCUUUAACAUAUUUAUAUGAAAUGUCUGUUUUGGCUUCCGUGGAUGGUCAGGCAUCUCAAUCUCAUAAGUGACUGGACCCUUUUGUGCUGUCACUGUAUAAGGCCCCUGCCACUUAGCUAGUAAGCUGCUCUCAGAAGUAGGCAGCAGCAAAAGUACCUUUUGUCCUACAGCGAGGUUACGUUCUCUUGCGGCUUUGUCAUACCAUGACUUUUGUUUAGUUUGUGCCUUCUCCAUAUUUUCUCUCACCAUCUGGGAUAGGUAGGCAAACUUCUCCUGUAGCUUGAGCACAAAAGUUAGCACAUUCUUUGAUUCUGCUCUGUUUUUGUCUCCUUCUAGAGUCUCUCUUAGAACACUGAGAGGACUGCGUACAUAUCGACCAUACAGCAGUUCAAAUAGGGAGAAUCCUGUUGAUGACUGCGGAACCUCUCGAUAUGCGAAAAGCAGGAGUCUUCUUUGCUGGCAAUGGACAAGGUUCAAAACAAAGUUUGGUCUCUCUUCUGUUGGGGCAAUUCCUAAGAAUGUGGCCUUUCUGGUUACAACCGUGGUAAAUCACUCCUUCCCUAUAAACUCUUCUCUCAGGUUCUUUGGACGAUGAGCGGCCAAAAACACCUCUGCAAGGUCUGCAGCUUCCUUGGAGGUUUUAGGAUGAUGUUCCUCCACCCAGGUCCGCAGUCUGCCAUCGAACACCUGUAAAAGUUGUUCUAAUAAAACAAAGUCAAUUAUUUGA